CCAGAAGCCCCAACGGACGCAACUGCCACUGGGCGGGUGGGGGAGGGGUGGCAGCUUGGGCAGCCAAGGGGCCCCGUCUCCUACAAACCUCCUGCACACCUGGGGAAGGCAGCAGCUCUGGGGUCUGCAGGGGGGCACCUCAUGGUUCCCAACUCUCCUAGAAGCAAAAAGGGAUUCAAAGAGGCCCACUUGAUAACCUGUCAGGCUGCAUAGCAGUGAGGCUUCCUCCUUUACACCGAUGUCGGGGAAAAGAAAACUACCUGGCAAGUUAGGAUACAGCAGGAACGGUCUCCAAGACAGCCAUUGAAAAUGCUCCCAAAUGCUGGAGACCUCAGCUCCUGCACAAAGACAAAACCACAGAGGAAAGCACUCAGAAAGGAGCAGGAUGAGGGAAUGCAAAGAAAAGGCAAAUGAGGGAAGCGUUGAAAGAUACAGCCUUGAUACAAUGGCCACAAAGAAGAGCUCUUCACAAUAGAAGCUUGUUAUGUUUGCUUUGCCAUCAUCCACCAUAAAGCCUGGAAUACAACCUUCUUCCCUUUUCAGUAAACAUCUACUGAGUAAAUCACACGAAGUCUCCAGGGUUUCGGUUCCUACUAUGAACCUAGAGAACAGGCCAGAAGCAUGUUGCACAAGGCUUCCGUUUUCACUGUCCAGUGACUGGUAUCCAAAUUCCCAGAUUUUCGCAGUAAACUUCACUCAGUCUUGUUAUAAUUGUUAUCUGUAAACAUUUUUAUUCAGAAUGUUCUUAAAUGAACUCAGGGAAAGCUGUGCAUUAAAUAGACAUUUAACAGAUGGUCAAGAGAGUAGUAUUCUGAAAUUUGGUAAAACUGCACUAAUGAUAUUUAUAUACUACACUGGAG
rnacentral:lncRNA from 1 species